GGAACCACAGGCUGGCCCACACCUGGUGCCUGACUCUUUUCUUUCUCUUCUCAGGAGCAAGAGCAGCUCUACCUGCGGUCUGGUGUGGUUUCCUCUGCGACCUUUGAGCAGCCAGGUCGGCAGGUCAAGCUGUGGGUGAAGAUGGUGACCCCGCUGAUCAAGAACUUCUUUUGAGAACAGAGACAGGCCAGUGACUGGGAGCCCUGAAGAGUUCAGGCCAGGUGCCAGGGCCUGAGAGUGCCAAACACAGAGGAGUGUGGACCGAGGACUCCGAAGUGACUCGCAUGCCGUAACGGUUCUGAGGCUGCAUCUUCUCAGAGCUUCAUCUCCGCCUUCUCAAUGUCAGUGGCAGAGAAAACUGACCGCAGCCUAAUUCCAGCAGUGUACCCUCCUGAUUCUUCAUGUGUAAUGUCUACUCUGUGUGUGUACAUAGGGAUAAGUUAUAUAUAUGCACCUAUAAACACUGUCUGCUGUCUCUCAUCCUAGCCAGUGGUGGUGUGUGUCCUGCGUGGCAUUGGAAUCACAAUAAACAUGGAGAAUGGU
rnacentral:lncRNA from 1 species